rnacentral:tRNA from 1 species
GCAUUGGUAGCUCAAUGGUAGAAUUCUCGCCAUCCACACCAGAGACCUGGGUUCAAUUUCUGGCCAGUGCA